GGCCGAUUAGCUCAGUGGUUUGAGCGUGGUGCUGACAAUAAUGACUGACACCAAGGUCGCGAGUUCAAUUCCCGCUCAGUCC
rnacentral:tRNA from 1 species